UACGUAGGCAGCGAGCGUUGUUCGGAGUUACUGGGCGUAAAGGGCGCGUAGGCGGCCUUCUAAGUCGAACGUGAAAUCCCCGGGCUCAACCCGGGAACUGCGUCCGAUACUGGAAGGCUUGAAUCCGGGAGAGGGAUGUGGAAUUCCAGGUGUAGCGGUGAAAUGCGUAGAUAUCUGGAGGAACACCGGUGGCGAAGGCGACAUCCUGGACCGGUAUUGACGCUGAGGCGCGAAAGCCAGGGGAGCAAACGGG
rnacentral:rRNA from 1 species